rnacentral:tRNA from 1 species
GCGCGAGUGGUGGAACUGGCAGACACACCAUCUUGAGGGGGUGGCGCCCGAAAGGGCAUGCGAGUUCAAGUCUCGCCUCGCGCACCA